UGGUCGAAGUCCAACAGACGAGUCGAAAAACAAGGAUGUAAAGUGAACGAUGUUUUACACACAAGCAUGACAGCCUCGUACACUUCAUUUGUUUUUUUUGACAACACUGUGACCUUGUGUCAGUGUCAGACAUGCAGCACUCUGUCGACUGCCUUGUAGAGUUUUUAGAGUCCUACAGGGGAAGGGAUAAAGUCAUCAGGGCGCUCCGCUAUGGCUCGCAGCUGGUCGGAGGCAUUCUUUCACGCAAGGCAGAUGCAGAUGCUUCGUCCCCCAACCUUGGAAAAAGUCUGCUUCUAUUUUCUGCUCAGCUAAGCCACUGCAGGACGGUGCUGAGGCUGCUUGAUGAUCUGUCCAUGCUGGCUUAUUCCCACAGUUAUGGAUUUGGAGCCAAGGAGAAAGAUGGAAUCGUUCGCUGCAUAUCAGUGCUUGCGAAUGUGGCUGACCAGCUCUACUACCCGUGUGAACACGUGGCCUGGGCCGCUGAUGCUCACCUCGUUCGAGUGAAGUCUGACAGAUGGUGGCUGUUCGGCACGGUGCUGUGGGGAACCUCGCUGCUGCUGGGGAUCCUUAGGUCACUCCGUGUUAUGAUGCUUCUCAAGAGGAAGCUUAGUAAAUGUGACGAAGAUGGAAGCAGCCGCUGUCAGAUCCAUAGGCAGAUGCAAGCAGAGCUGCUUUCGAUCCUCGGAUGUAUGACAGACCUCAGUAAUGCCAUCCACUGGAUGCCACAUGGUUUCCUGUGGGCAGGACAAUUCCCUGCAUGGCUAGUGGGCCUGAUGGCAGCAGGUGUAGACCUCCAGCGUGGAGCAGUCGGCGCGAGAGCCCUCCCACGCCUUAAAGAGGAAGAACGCUGGUGCAAUCAGGAGGGGAAUUAACAUCAAAUAAUUGAGGACGGAAUGGAGGUCACAAAGUGGGACAGUGAACCUCAGUAUUCGCAGCUUCAUCGUGAUCAAAACAUCCAUCAGAUGCUGGCUCGCAAAAAUGAGUUUCUUCCUGAACAGCAGCCAUGGACCUUCAGUGUAAAGCAGGAGGUGCCAGACCCCCAACACAUUCACAUUAAAGAAAAGAACGACCUCCGUUCCUUUCAAAGGGAAGAGCAGCUUCAAGCACCGGAGGAAGCUGAUAUUGCAAAGUGCUCCUCAACUCGUGUGAAGCGGGAAUGUGGACCUCCACAAUCACAGUUUCAUCACAUUGAAAAGGAAAAGAAAAGAAAGGUGGAACCUGUAACCAGUAUCUUAAAAACUGAAACUGAUGGAAACCACAGGGAGUGGAUUAGAGUUAGACAGCCACUCGGGUCCACUUCGGCAAGUUGAUGAAGACGCAGACUCAGACUCUUCUGAGAGUGAUGUCGACGACAAACCUUUGAAGAGCAAAAGAGACACUAAGGGUGACCCUUACAACACACAGUACAAAAUUUUCUGUCGCGUUUGCUUUCAAAGAUUCAGAUUAUGGAAACAUUUGAGAAAACAUAUGGGAACGCAUGUGAAAACACACAAAACACAAAAAGGGGAAAAAACAUUUGCCUGCUCAUUUUGUGGUAAAAAUUCCUCAAAUAGGAAAGCACUCUCACUGCACGUGAGAAUACACGCUGUGGAAAAGGAAUUUUCCUGUUCAGAUUGUGGCAGAGGUUUCACUCGUAAUCAGCAAUUGACCAACCACAUGAAGGUCCACACUGGAGAAAAACCUUUUCCCUGCUCAGUUUGUGGAAAAAGAUUUUCAUCCAAGGGCAACUUUGGAAUACACAUGAGAACACACACUGGAGAAAAACCGUUUUCAUGUUCUGUUUGCAGUAAAAGAUUUUCAUCUCAGACUGGUGUACAAAUACAUAGGCAAACACACACUAGAGAAAAACACUUUUUUUGCUCAGUUUGUGCGGAAAGUUUCACUCGAAUAGGCAAUUUACAGAGACAUAUGAGAACACACACUGGAGAAAGACCCUUUGUCUGCUCAGUUUGUGGUUCAAAAUUUGUUCAAAAAGAACAUUUGGUGGCACAUGUAAGCAGAAUACACGCUGGUGGGAAAUCGCUCAGCUGUGGCGUGUGUUACAAAAGAUUCUCUCGUCAGCAAGAAGCUGACAAGCACGAAUGUACUGGUGAGAACAGCAGCAGUAAAUGAAGCUUUAAAUGAACUACAUCAACCGACAAACUGACGUUCCAACGACCUCAGUUUGAAUAGUCGAAUGAAGUGAGAACAACAAGGAUGGUGGAAUCCCUUUUUUGUAUACACAUUUUAAAAGCACAGUAUAUAUUGUAUUAUUCUUUGGAACGAAAUGUGCAUGCCUUUGAAGACUACGUGAUCCUGAAUAAAAUACUCCUACAAAAAUAGUAUCAUGCUUUACAUGAGAUGCUGAAACAAAAUAAUAAGAAGUACAUAAAGUAGUAAAGAUUUUAAGGAUGAGUAAAAAAGAACAUUACACAUGAUUGGAGCAGAAUAUGAGCGUCACACAAGGACUAUGGAGAGUAGUAGUAUAAUCAAAAUGGUUCUAAAGCAAUGGGAUAUCCACAAUAAAUCUUAAAAGAUAAUACUAUUUUCGAUACUGAAAAGGAAAGAAUUCCCGAGUCGAGAGAUAAAUAUGAUGUAGAUAAGGGAUUGG